AACGAACGCUGGCGGCAUGCCUAACACAUGCAAGUCGAACGAAGCCUUCGGGCUUAGUGGCGCACGGGUGCGUAACGCGUGGGAAUCUGCCCUUGGGUUCGGAAUAACAGUUAGAAAUGACUGCUAAUACCGGAUGAUGUCUUCGGACCAAAGAUUUAUCGCCCAAGGAUGAGCCCGCGUAGGAUUAGGUAGUUGGUGGGGUAAUGGCCCACCAAGCCGACGAUCCUUAGCUGGUCUGAGAGGAUGAUCAGCCACACUGGGACUGAGACACGGCCCAGACUCCUACGGGAGGCAGCAGUGGGGAAUAUUGGACAAUGGGCGAAAGCCCGAUCCAGCAAUGCCGCGUGAGUGAUGAAGGCCUUAGGGUUGUAAAGCUCUUUUACCAGGGAUGAUAAUGACAGUACCUGGAGAAUAAGCUCCGGCUAACUCCGUGCCAGCAGCCGCUGUAA
rnacentral:rRNA from 1 species